CCAUAUGAGGUUUUCUAAAAACUGAUCGACAACCUGAAAAUCUUCCUCAGAUAAGUUCUUUCCUCUCAGAAAAUGGAGUUUUCCGAUUCUCUCAGUGGGAUUAUUUGGAUCAACGUCCGUCUCUGCCUCCCUCUUACUUUCCUACUUAUCGCUUUGUGUUGCCUGGUGCAGCUGGAUGGAGCUCCUGUCUCCUACUACAUGAACCUUCUGCUCUCUAAUCUGGUGCAGCUCAUCAUUCUGGUCGCUUUACCUCAACAUCCAGAUUAUCACUGGAAACAUCUGGACUCUGUUCACAUCUAUGCCUGCUGUGUUUUGGCUGCUCUCUACUUCAGGACGGUCAUAGUUCUGGAAAGGUACC